UUUUUUUUUUUUUUUUAACUUUUUAUUAAAUAACUCACACGCCCUACAUAUGUCAAUGAGAUUUGAACCCAUAACGUCAAAGUUGUUAGUUAACCACCUUAACCAACCACGUCACGGCUCACCGACAAACGUACUAUCUUGAUUGAACCAUUGAAUAUACAUAGGAUAUAUGAAAAAUUGGAGAAAUUAUAAUGAAAAUUUCCGGGCAAUAAAUGUGUCUUUUAGUAAUUUAGGAUACCUACAAAAUUUAAUUUCCAGUGCAAGAAAAAAGAGAUGUGUAUCUAAUAAUUUGUAAUGUUGGAAUAAAAUUUGUCAAACAGUAAACACUAGAAUUUGUGCCCGUGCCUGGUGUAGGCGCGGUUGAUUAGGUUAGCGACGAUGGAGUGGGAUAUUGAUGAUGAUGAUAGUGUAGAUAUAGAGAUAGUUGCUUCGAACAGUUUAGAAUGCUAUUAAUUUCUACGGCAUAGUGCAUAAGAUAUUUAGCAUAAUAUCAUACUCGGUCUAGUCAAUCACCCGCGCCUUGCUGCGGGCUAGGAAUAUCUAAGAAUAUCUGCUGCAAUCGUUGGUUUGAUUCACUCUAUUUUAGGGUAAUCCAAAUGGAAGAAGUAACAGAAGUACGUGUUAUAUCAUCCCUUGUUUGUAACUCUUAUAAUGAUGCAUUUGUUUAACUCCGAGUAUCAUGAACACAUAUGAAAAGGAGUGUGUUAUAUCCAUUCAUUAUAUUACAUAGGAAAACAUUGGCAAAGAAUAACAAACAAAUAAAAGUCAGGCAAUGAUCGCUUCUUGUUCCACUUCCACUUGAACUCGUCUGGUUUGUCUGUUAUCUUUUCUUCUGUGCUGCGAAGAGGACUUGUCGUUGGUGUUCCACCUUUUUCACUUCCACUUCAACUGCGUCUAAUUCACAUGUUCUCUUCUCUUCUCUUUUCUUCUCCUGGUUGACCACGCUUAUGCAAUAGUUGUAGCCUUUCAGUUUUCUAGCUUUAAAGACUCCAGCAAGUGGUGAAUCAUAUAUUCUGUACUAUAUUGUGUAGCAUCCAGGUCCUGAUUAGUCUCCCUGCACCAUUGUAAUCCAAUGAACGACUGGUCAGAUUGGUUUUUUUUUU
rnacentral:lncRNA from 1 species